CCCUUAGAUGUUCUGGGCCGCACGCGCGCUGCACUGAUGCAUUCAACGAGUCUAAAACCUGCUCUGAUAGGGGUGGGUAAUCUUUUGAAUGUGCAUCGUGAUUGGGAUAGAUGAUUGCAAUUUUUCAUCUUCAACGAGGAAUGCCUAGUAAACGCAAGUCAUCAGCUUGCAUUGAUUACGUCCCUGCCCUUUGUACACACCGCCCGUCGCUCCUACCGAUUGAAUGAUCCGAUGAAUAUCAUGGAUUGAGGAUGUAAGCAGGUUCGCCUGUCUUCAUCUUCGAGAAGUGAAGUAAAUCUUAUCAUUUAGAGGAAGGAGAAGUCGUAACA
rnacentral:rRNA from 1 species